rnacentral:rRNA from 1 species
CCUACGGGUGGCAGCAGUGGGGAAUCUUGCGCAAUGCGCGAAAGCGUGACGCAGCAACGCCGCGUGGGGGAAGACGGCCUUCGGGUUGUAAACCCCUUUCAGUUGGGACGAAGCUUCGACGGUUAAUAGCCGGCUGGAGUGACGGUACCUUCAGAAGAAGCCCCGGCUAACUACGUGCCAGCAGCCGCGGUAAUACGUAGGGGGCAAGCGUUGUCCGGAAUCAUUGGGCGUAAAGCGCGUGUAGGCGGUUCGGUAAGUCUGCUGUGAAAGUCCAGGGCUCAACCCUGGGAUGCCGGUGGAUACUGUCGGGCUAGAGUACGGAAGAGGCGAGUGGAAUUCCCGGUGUAGCGGUGAAAUGCGCAGAUAUCGGGAGGAACACCAAUUGCGAAGGCAGCUCGCUGGGACGUUACUGACGCUGAGACGCGAAAGCGUGGGGAGCA